rnacentral:rRNA from 1 species
UACGUAGGGUGCGAGCGUUAAUCGGAAUUACUGGGCGUAAAGCGUGCGCAGGCGGUGAUGUAAGACAGGUGUGAAAUCCCCGGGCUUAACCUGGGAACUGCAUUUGUGACUGCAUCGCUGGAGUGCGGCAGAGGGGGAUGGAAUUCCGCGUGUAGCAGUGAAAUGCGUAGAUAUGCGGAGGAACACCGAUGGCGAAGGCAGCCCCCUGGGAUAACACUGACGCUCAUGCACGAAAGCGUGGGGAGCAAACAGG